GGGGAAUAUUGCACAAUGGGCGCAAGCCUGAUGCAGCGACGCCGCGUGAGGGAUGACGGCCUUCGGGUUGUAAACCUCUUUCAGUAGGGAAGAAGCGAAAGUGACGGUACCUGCAGAAGAAGCACCGGCUAACUACGUGCCAGCAGCCGCGGUAAUACGUAGGGUGCGAGCGUUAUCCGGAAUUAUUGGGCGUAAAGAGCUCGUAGGCGGUUUGUCGCGUCUGUCGUGAAAGUCCGGGGCUUAACCCCGGAUCUGCGGUGGGUACGGGCAGACUAGAGUGCAGUAGGGGAGACUGGAAUUCCUGGUGUAGCGGUGGAAUGCGCAGAUAUCAGGAGGAACACCGAUGGCGAAGGCAGGUCUCUGGGCUGUAACUGACGCUGAGGAGCGAAAGCAUGGGGAGCGAACAGGAUUAGAUACCCUGGUAGUCCAUGCCGUAAACGUUGGGCACUAGGUGUGGGGACCAUUCCACGGUUUCCGCGCCGCAGCUAACGCAUUAAGUGCCCCGCCUGGGGAGUACGGCCGCAAGGCUA
rnacentral:rRNA from 1 species